AAGAGUAUAGCUGGGUCUGGAUUUAGCUAGGUGUUUGUCCCUUUUGUCCCACACCCUUUUAUGAGCAUCCCUCCCAAAGCUGCACACUUGAUCAAAGAGGAUGACCUUCCCUAAAUCGAGGAGGACCAUCUUCACUCAAGGGUAUGUGAGUCUCUGUGCUUCCCGACUAGGACACUUAAACAAGCUCUCCAUUCCAUUAAUAGAAAGAAGCCUAUUAAAAUUAUCCACUGUGUCUUGUUUUGGUAGAUUGUGGAAUUUUAAGGAACAAGUUCAC
ensembl:misc_RNA Gm22483 predicted gene, 22483